rnacentral:pre_miRNA from 1 species
GCGCCAGCCCCUCGCACAAACCGGUCCUCAGCGAUUUGUUCGUUCGGCUCGCGUGA